rnacentral:lncRNA from 10 species
AUUGGAGAGCAUGGUUGUGCCAAGGCUCUCUAGCCAGGACAGCCCAUCCUCAGGCCACCCAGCUCCGUGAGUGAGUUCCCUGCACAGCCUGUGACUGACUCACCGAUGCAGUGGGGCUGAUCUUCACAUGGCACCCCAAGCAGGCUUUUCCAGUUCACAUCUGCCAACAAGGCAGCCAAGGGGGUGGUUUAGGAAGUAGAGAAAAGGUGAAAAGGCAGCGGAGGGAGCCGGCUGUCCUGUGUCUCCUCUUUUUCCUGCCCCCAGUGACUUGCAUUUUCUCUGAGACAGCUGCCAUUCUAGUCUCCCAGCCAUUCUUAGGAAGAGACGUGCCUGUCUCUGGGAAGAGGCAACUUCUCUGCAUGUCAGAGGACACCAUUGGCACUGCAUUCCCUGUUGAAUGACGCCCCCUGGAACACAGCUUUAUAGACUUCAAUGUGAAUAGUGCCCCCUAGAAUUGUUCAAGUUGGCAGUACAGAGCCUAAUAUUUGUUGAAAAGAGGCCACAGGCGAUCUACUCUCUCUGCUCAUCUUCCUGAUCCAGUGGCCUCUGAAAUCCUUCUGGCGGCUUCUAAUUGUAAACCUUCUCAUACUUGAAACCUUCCCUGUGUCAGGAUGAGGAAGCUCGUAUGAAGAGUGGGCUGAUUCCAUUUGUUUGCAGUUUAUGAUCAAAUUUGGACAUCUUAUUUCGAAGCGAUAUAAGAAAGGCACUUGAUAAGCUGUCUGCAGCAGUUUCUCCUAAGGGGUCUGCCAAAAACGGUGUGGGAUUUCAGGGUCUGGUUUUCUUUGCCUUCUCCAGGUCUGUUACAUUUCCCAGAAUGGUUCCCAGUGCUGGAGAUAAUUCCUUUUCGGAGAACCUACAUUUCUCACCUGCUGAUUGCAAUUAGCCACUACCAGCUGGGGCCUGGUGUGCAGCUGAAAAGCUAACAAGAAGUGGAGACCACGCGGAACUCAGACAGGGCAUAGGAUGUGCAUAAAUAAGCAACGGUGCCUGUGUUUAUGAGAUGCUCCUGUGAAUUCGAGGCUUCCCCACCCUCUGCAUAACUCUCCCUCUUCUGGCUUUGUGCUGCACACCCCUCCCCUAACUAUAUUUUUUGUCUCUGGUUUUGUAGCCUACGUUUAACAUCACAGUCACGAAUUUACCACUAAGUACAUUUUGUUAGGCAAUAAACAGCCUUGGAAGAAAAAUGAAAUCCGACUAGGACUUCUGUUCUAAUAAUGUCUGUGAGCUGUGGUGGAUUCAGGCAGGCCCCACAUGCAGGUCUUAGAGCUAACCUUGACCAUGAGGGCUAGUGGGGCUGGGAGAGGGCUCAGGGACCCCAAUUCAACUCCCUUAUUUUAUGGGGGAGGAUACUGAAUCCCAGAACGGGAGCAUGGCCUGUCCAAAGUCUUAAAGGAAGUCACAGGACUGGAU